GUGCCAGCAGCCGCGGUAAUACAGAGGUGGCAAGCGUUGUUCGGAAUUACUGGGCGUAAAGGGCGCGUAGGCGGCCUUCUAAGUCGGACGUGAAAUCCCCAGGCUUAACUUGGGAACUGCGUCCGAUACUGGAGGGCUUGAGUGCGGGAGAGGGAUGUGGAAUUCCAGGUGUAGCGGUGAAAUGCGUAGAUAUCUGGAGGAACACCGGUGGCGAAGGCGGCAUCCUGGACCGACACUGACGCUGAUGCGCGAAAGCCAGGGGAGCAAACGGGAUUAGAUACCCCUGUAGUCC
rnacentral:rRNA from 1 species